rnacentral:rRNA from 1 species
UACAGAGGUCUCAAGCGUUGUUCGGAUUUAUUGGGCGUAAAGGGCGCGUAGGCGGCGGGGUAAGUCGGGUGUGAAAUCUCAGGGCUCAACCCUGAAACUGCACUUGAUACUGCUCUGCUUGAGGACUGGAGAGGAGAGUGGAAUUCCCGGUGUAGCAGUGAAAUGCGUAGAGAUCGGGAGGAACAUCAGUUGCGAAGGCGGCUCUCUGGACCAGUACUGACGCUGAGGCACGAAAGCGUGGGGAGCAAACAGG